UUCACCAGCUCCAUGCAGGGACAUCACAGGGCUGCCCUCCAUGAGCAGAGGAGGAGGGCUGCCUGGCAGAGCGUUUCACACUCCAGGUUAGCCAGAAAGAGCAUCUUCAUUUUUGUUUCCACACAACACUUCUCUGUGAGCCUGUUGGCCAACAAAGUGGCGGCCGAUUGUUGGAGGAGCCAGCCAACCAUCUUGUCUAACUUCAGAUUCUUCAGGGCUAGAAUAUGUUCACCCCAGAGGCUUAGAUGAAGCACAUUUGCGGCUACUCGGGCAGAUGGUCUCUGCAACAGGAAGGGAAGCUGUAGCUAGAACAUCUGUUAACACAGUCUCAACCCAAAGCCUGCUUUGUUAG
rnacentral:lncRNA from 1 species